rnacentral:rRNA from 1 species
UACGGAGGGAGCUAGCGUUGUUCGGAAUCACUGGGCGUAAAGCGUGCGUAGGCGGUUACUCAAGUCAGAGGUGAAAGCCUGGAGCUCAACUCCAGAACUGCCUUUGAAACUAGGUAACUAGAAUCUGGGAGAGGUGAGUGGAAUUCCGAGUGUAGAGGUGAAAUUCGUAGAUAUUCGGAAGAACACCAGUGGCGAAGGCGGCUCACUGGACCAGAAUUGACGCUGAGGCACGAAAGCGUGGGGAGCAAACAGG